rnacentral:misc_RNA from 1 species
AAACUUCGAUAUAGUGGUUUAAUUCAAGUUGCCAAAAUUAGGAACCCUUUGCAGUUAUACCUGCAAGGGAACGAAGGCUUUGGAAUAUGGGUUAGUUGAACUUUGUAACUGGUAAUUCCUUGUGCUUGAAGGGGAGGAUAUGAAGGAUGAGAGGUGUAGGUAAUAGGAUUAACAUGCCAAUGAGAGGUGUAGGUAAUAGGAUUAACAUG